rnacentral:rRNA from 1 species
GACGAACCGUCCUAACGUUAUUCGGAAUUACUGGGCUUAAAGGGUGCGUAGGCGGCGCGGAAAGUUGGGUGUGAAAGCCCCGGGCUCAACCUGGGAACCGCGCUUGAGACUGGAGAACUAGAGUUCGGGAGAGGAUGGUGGAAUUCCCAGUGUAGAGGUGAAAUUCGUAGAUAUUGGGAAGAACACCGAUGGCGAAGGCAGCCAUCUGGACCGACACUGACGCUGAGGCGCGAAAGCGUGGGGAGCAAACAGG